rnacentral:rRNA from 1 species
UGGGGAAUCUUGGACAAUGGGGGCAACCCUGAUCCAGCGACGCCGCGUGGGUGACGAAGGCCUUCGGGUUGUAAAGCCCUUUUGUCGGGGACGAUGAUGACGGUACCCGGCGAAUAAGCACCGGCUAACUCCGUGCCAGCAGCCGCGGUAAGACGGAGGGUGCUAGCGUUGUUCGGAUUUACUGGGCGUAAAGGGCGCGUAGGCGGCCGUGUCAGUCGGGUGUGAAAGCCCGGGGCUCAACCCCGGAACGGCACCCGAGACGGCAGGGCUGGAGACCGGGAGAGGAGAGUGGAAUAGCCAGUGUAGAGGUGAAAUUCGUAGAUAUUGGCUGGAACACCGGUGGCGAAAGCGGCUCUCUGGCCCGGUUCUGACGCUGAGGCGCGAAAGCGUGGGGAGCAAACA